CCUAUGUUUUUCCUGGUUGUUAAUCAGUUUCUUGAGAUGUUACAAACCAGAUAAACCCUUGUCAGUAGAAAAGACAAUCAUUUACACAAUCAAAAGAAUGCUUUGAAGAAUCUGAACUUAGGGUUUAAAAAACUGUAAAAGCAGCAAACAGUGCGCUUCAAGAGAGAAAUCUCUCUGACACCAUCCGCUGUUGUUCUCGAGAAGCUGGAAGAAACAGAUCAUCUCCUUUCAAGGAUUGUGCUAAGAACUUUACCUGUCAUCAUUGGAACCCCAGUGCCUUGGACUGAGUCUUAACAACUCGGGUGGACCAGGGAACCGAACCCAAUUUUCGAACCCACAGAGCUUAAACAACUCCAUGGGAAAGAAUUUGUCGUGAUGCUCCAACGAGGAUUUAAGCGGAGCUGCACCUGGAAAGCUGUCCAGCCUACACCACUACCAUCUUUGGGUAUUACUUCAGAAUGAGACCAGAUGUGUCAUAAGAUUGGCUUGACUAUAUCAUACUUUUCAACACAUCAAGUUUUCUUCGAAAGUUUCACUUUGUCUUUGACUAUCAGGAAAGAUUCACUGUUUGCCACUAUGUGGGGACUUCUAGAAACACUUCUCUUUCCCAAUAGAGCUUGACAGUUUUAGAGUUUAAAUUUUAAUUGUAGCAAUGUUUCCAAGGCAACUACGGUUUGGCAGCCCUUGAGCAAAAACAAAAAUAAAGAAAAAAAUGAAAUUUGCAUUUAGAUGGAGAGAUUUUUUUAGUUUUGAAAAGCAUAACAAGCAACAAACUAUGAUAACUUCUAGUCUCUGAAAUAACACCAGUUUGGAAUAAUGCCAACCAUGAUCAAAUUAGGGGACUGUCUCUUAUUUAAAUAUAUUCUUCAAUACCAGGCACAAUAUGUUCCUUUUUCUCAAUUUUGCGCCUUGCCUGUAGCAAGAGGCAAUAGAAACAAAUCAAAUCAGCUCGUUUUGUGCCAAAUCUGAGGAAUGAAUUGCUUUCAGUAAUGCACCUACACUUUCAGGCUGAAAGGAGAAAAUUGUUGGCCCCAUGACUUUUAAAGAUGUAAAGCGUUUAUUUUAUUCUUUAAGAAGCAGCCAGCCACAUAAGGCACUUGAACUGCACAGUUCAAGGAAAACAACAUGCUUUGAUGCUAAAUGAUGCAGCCUUAAGUGAAGUGAUUAAAUAGUUUGAUGGAUAAA